rnacentral:rRNA from 1 species
GUGAGGAAUAUUGCGCAAUGGAGGCAACUCUGACGCAGCCAUGCCGCGUGCAGGAAGAAGGCGCUACGCGUUGUAAACUGCUUUUAACCGGGAAGAAACCCCAGGACGUGUCCUGGGUUGACGGUACCGGAGGAAUAAGCACCGGCUAACUUCGUGCCAGCAGCCGCGGUAAUACGAAGGGUGCAAGCGUUAUCCGGAUUCAUUGGGUUUAAAGGGUGCGUAGGUGGAGCGUUAAGUCAGUGGUGAAAUCCUGCAGCUUAACUGUAGACUUGCCAUUGAUACUGGCGCUCUUGAGUGCGCUUGAAGUGGGCGGAAUGUGCCGUGUAGCGGUGAAAUGCUUAGAUAUGGCACAGAACACCAAUUGCGAAGGAAGCUCACUAAGGCGAUACUGACGCUGAGGCACGAAAGCGUGGGGAUCGAACAGGAUUAGAUACCCUUGUAGUCC